GAAAUCGGGAGAGAAUGUUUUAAUACAGCGCCGAAGGGGAUGCAGAAACUCUCAGGCAAAAGGACUUAG
rnacentral:ncRNA from 1 species